rnacentral:rRNA from 1 species
UACGGGGGGGGCAAGCGUUGUUCGGAAUUACUGGGCGUAAAGGGCUCGUAGGCGGCCAACUAAGUCAGACGUGAAAUCCCUCGGCUUAACCGGGGAACUGCGUCUGAUACUGGAUGGCUUGAGUUUGGGAGAGGGAUGCGGAAUUCCAGGUGUAGCGGUGAAAUGCGUAGAUAUCUGGAGGAACACCGGUGGCGAAGGCGGCAUCCUGGGACCAACACUGACGCUGAGUGAGCGAAAGCCAGGGGAGCAAAACGGGG